ACAUGCAGAGCUUUCACGCAUUGUUUGCAAGGGGAAGAAAAAUGGGUUUUCUUCGGCUGUGUAUGCGGAAGG
rnacentral:sRNA from 1 species